rnacentral:rRNA from 1 species
AGAUUGAACGCUGGCGGCAUGCCUUACACAUGCAAGUCGAACGGUAGAGUAGCAAUACUCGAGAGUGGCGAACGGGUGAGUAAUAUAUCGGAACGUGCCCAGUCGUGGGGGAUAACGUAGAGAAAUUUACGCUAAUACCGCAUACGAUCUACGGAUGAAAGCGGGGGAUCGCAAGACCUCGCGCGAUUGGAGCGGCUGAUAUCAGAUUUAGGUUGUUGGUGAGGUAAAAGCUCACCAAGCCGACGAUCUGUAGCUGGUUUGAGAGAACGACCGGCCACACUGGGACUGAGACACGGCCCAGACUCCUACGGGAGCAGCAGUGGGGAAUUUUGGACAAUGGGCGAAAGCCUGAUCCAGCAAUGCCGCGUGCAGGAAGAAGGCCUUUACGGUGUAAACUGCUUUUGUAACGGAACGAAAGCUACUUUACUAAUAAAGAGGACCCAGU